GAUGAACGCUGGCGGCGUGCCUAAUACAUGCAAGUCGAGCGAACGGACGAGAAGCUUGCUUCUCUGAUGUUAGCGGCGGACGGGUGAGUAACACGUGGAUAACCUACCUAUAAGACUGGGAUAACUUCGGGAAACCGGAGCUAAUACCGGAUAAUAUUUUGAACCGCAUGGUUCAAAAGUGAAAGACGGUCUUGCUGUCACUUAUAGAUGGAUCCGCGCUGCAUUAGCUAGUUUGUAAGGUAACGGCUUACCAAGGCAACGAUGCAUAGCCGACCUGAGAGGGUGAUCGGCCACACUGGAACUGAGACACGGUCCAGACUCCUACGGGAGGCAGCAGUAGGGAAUCUUCCGCAAUGGGCGAAAGCCUGACGGAGCAACGCCGCGUGAGUGAUGAAGGUCUUCGGAUCGUAAAACUCUGUUAUUAGGGAAGAACAUAUGUGUAAGUAACUGUGCACAUCUUGACGGUACCUAAUCAGAAAGCCACGGCUAACUACGU
rnacentral:rRNA from 1 species